rnacentral:tRNA from 1 species
GAGGGCAUAGCUCAGUGGUAGAGUGCAUGCUUAGCAUGCACAAGGUCCUGAGUUCAAUCUCCAGUACCUCCA